UGGGGAAUUUUGGACAAUGGGCGAAAGCCUGAUCCAGCAAUGCCGCGUGUGUGAAGAAGGCCUUCGGGUUGUAAAGCACUUUUGUCCGGAAAGAAAUCCUUGGCUCUAAUACAGUCGGGGGGAUGACGGUACCGGAAGAAUAAGCACCGGCUAACUACGUGCCAGCAGCCGCGGUAAUACGUAGGGUGCAAGCGUUAAUCGGAAUUACUGGGCGUAAAGCGUGCGCAGGCGGUUUGCUAAGACCGAUGUGAAAUCCCCGGGCUCAACCUGGGAACUGCAUUGGUGACUGGCAGGCUAGAGUAUGGCAGAGGGGGGUAGAAUUCCACGUNUAGCAGUGAAAUGCGUAGAGAUGUGGAGGAAUACCGAUGGCGAAGGCAGCCCCCUGGGCCAAUACUGACGCUCAUGCACGAAAGCGUGGGGAGCAAACAGGAUUAGAUACCCUGGUAGUCCACGCCCUAAAACGAUGUCAACUAGUUGUUGGGGAUUCAUUUCCUUAGUAACGUAGCUAACGCGUGAAGUUGACCGCCUGGGGAGUACGGUCGCAAGAUUAAAACUUAAAUGAAUUGACGGGGUCAUA
rnacentral:rRNA from 1 species